UCUAUUUCCCUCCCUCACUCGAUGCCCUCACCAGAAAACUUCAACUAGUGAGGUCGACGAUUUCACCGGUACCGUCAGCAUCGCCGACAUCGUCAACGGUAUCGUUAGCAUCGACGAUUUCAUUGGCGAGCUCACCGACCCAGGAACCGCCGUCGCUUGAGCUCGCUAACCUAGGAAUCAACGUCGUCGUCGCCUUUCGCCUGACUGUUCACCUUCCACCUGACCAUUCGCCUCCCACCUGAUCGUUCGCCUUCCACCUCUCGCCGUUGAUCUCACCUCUCGCCUCUUCACCGAUCUCCCUCAGCAUCCGCUCCCCCGUCGAAGCCCUCCCACAACAAGGCUCUCAAGCAGCUUGAAGACGCCGUCGCUAAAGGCGACUCCUCCUCCGUCGUUAAGUUGCAGAGCACCAUCAAGUUCAAUGGCGGAGGUCAUAUCAACCACUCAAUUUUUUGUUAGAAUCUAACUCCUGUUUUUGAAGGAGGUGGUGAGCCCCCGCAUGAUUCCUUAGGUUGAAGCUGAAGAUAUCUGAAGCUUAAAACUAUUGUAGAUUCCUAACUUCGUUUUCUUCAAGGCUAAAUACAUAUUGUUUACAAUAACUUUGGAUUUUUUCUGAAAGUUGUAAGAUUAGCUUGAGCAAAAUGAGGUCCAAGAUGAGUGAGCUAAGGACCAAGAGCACGAACUAAGCAAGAUGAGGUCCAAAAGAAUAUUCUUAACUUUUUGAGGAGCAAGGGUUAUGAUGAUGCUCUUACUUAUGGGGGUGGUUCAACUUCAAGUUAAAACACUUUUUGAUUUCUUAUUGGUGGCUUUUAGGGGAUUUACUUUUGGCAUUACUUGAAGACAUAUGAGGACAUCUUCCGUUAGUUCUAAAAUAGGGUUUAGGUAGAGUUAUUGUAUGUAUUGCAAACAAUUAUUGUAUGGAAGUAGUUUGAAUUGGAUACUUGUUUUAUUUUUUACUUGUGGAAUGU